UACGAAGGGUCCAAGCGUUAAUCGGAAUUACUGGGCGUAAAGCGUGCGCAGGCGGUUGUGCAAGACCGAUGUGAAAUCCCCGGGCUUAACCUGGGAAUUGCAUUGGUGACUGCACGGCUAGAGUGUGUCAGAGGGGGGUAGAAUUCCACGUGUAGCAGUGAAAUGCGUAGAGAUGUGGAGGAAUACCGAUGGCGAAGGCAGCCCCCUGGGAUAACACUGACGCUCAUGCACGAAAGCGUGGGGAGCAAACAGG
rnacentral:rRNA from 1 species